UGAAGCAGGAAGUUGUUAAUGGAAGAGUUUGGAGCAGCCAUAUGGAACACAACCUCAGCUCCUUCACAUACUGCAGUGACAAAGAAGCACUUAAAGUAUAUGA